UGGGGAAUUUUGGACAAUGGGGGCAACCCUGAUCCAGCCAUCCCGCGUGUGCGAUGAAGGCCUUCGGGUUGUAAAGCACUUUUGGCAGGGAAGAAACAGCCUGGGCUAAUAUCCCGGGCGACUGACGGUACCUGCAGAAUAAGCACCGGCUAACUACGUGCCAGCAGCCGCGGUAAUACGUAGGGUGCAAGCGUUAAUCGGAAUUACUGGGCGUAAAGCGUGCGCAGGCGGUUCGGAAAGAAAGGUGUGAAAUCCCAGGGCUUAACCUUGGAACUGCACUUUUAACUACCGGGCUAGAGUACGUCAGAGGGGGGUAGAAUUCCACGUGUAGCAGUGAAAUGCGUAGAGAUGUGGAGGAAUACCGAUGGCGAAGGCAGCCCCCUGGGAUGAUACUGACGCUCAUGCACGAAAGCGUGGGGAGCAAACAGG
rnacentral:rRNA from 1 species